rnacentral:rRNA from 1 species
GAUGAACGCUAGCUACAGGCUUAACACAUGCAAGUCGAGCGACCGGCGCACGCGUGCGUAACACGUAUCCAACCUGCCCUUUACUCGGGGAUAGCCUUUCGACAGCAAGAUUAAUACUCGAUCCAAUGGAUUGGGAUUCGUUCCCUUGGGUUGUUGGUGAGGUAACGGCUCACCAAGCCUUCGAUGGAUAGGGGUUCUGAGAGGAAGGUACCCUAAAUUGGAACUGAGGCACGGUCCAAACUCGUACGAGAGGCAGGAGGGAGGAAUAUUGGUCAAUGGGGGUUAGGCUGAACCAGCCAAGUAGCGUGAAGAAGGAAGGCUAAUGGGUCGUAAACUUCUUUUAUAGAAGAAUAUGUAUUAUAUGAAUAAGGAUCGGCUAACUCCGUGCCAGCAGCCGCGGUAAUAC